UACGUAGGGGGCAAGCGUUGUCCGGAAUCAUUGGGCGUAAAGAGCGUGUAGGCGGCCUGAUAAGUCGGCUGUGAAAGUCAAGGGCUCAACCCUUGAAUGCCGGCCGAUACUGUCAGGCUAGAGUCCGGAAGAGGCGAGUGGAAUUCCCGGUGUAGCGGUGAAAUGCGCAGAUAUCGGGAGGAACACCAAUGGCGAAGGCAGCUCGCUGGGACGGUACUGACGCUGAGACGCGAAAGCGUGGGGAGCAAACAGG
rnacentral:rRNA from 1 species